GUCUUCCGGCGCAGCUCCGUCCCUGUUUUCUGUGCUCCUCCGAGCUCGCUGUUCGUCCGGGUUUUUUACGUUUUAAUUUCCAGGACUUGAAGUGCCAUGUCCUCUGAAGAAGGAAAGCUCUUCGUGGGAGGGCUCAACUUUAACACCGACGAGCAGGCACUGGAAGACCACUUCAGCAGUUUCGGACCUAUCUCUGAGGUGGUCGUUGUCAAGGACCGGGAGACUCAGCGGUCCAGGGGUUUUGGUUUCAUCACCUUCACCAACCCAGAGCAUGCUUCAGUUGCCAUGAGAGCCAUGAAUGGAGAGGGGGUGGAGGGCAGCGGCAGACAGAGCCUGGCCGCCUGGGAGGCGACGACUGGUCCUGCAUGAGGCCGAGAAGCCACCUGUGGAUGGUUGACCUGCCUUGGGCUUAGGUAGUAGAGUCUGCAGACCUGUGGGCCUGGCCCGGAGAGGACCUCGUGAGUCUUCUGACAUGGACUCUGAAGCCUCAAACCAAGAGAGGUGUCUGUCUAGCCCUGAUAGUCGGGCAGCUUAGAGGAGUGGGGAGGAGAACUCAGCCUGAGUUCAGUCAAGAUUCUCUGGAUGGUCGUCAGAUCCGUGUGGAUCAUGCAGGCAAGUCUGCUCGGGGAACCAGAGGAGGUGGCUUUGGGGCCCAUGGGCGUGGUCGCAGCUACUCUAGAGGUGGUGGGGACCAGGGCUAUGGGAGUGGCAGGUAUUAUGACAGUCGACCUGGAGGGUAUGGAUAUGGAUAUGGACGUUCCAGAGACUAUAAUGGCAGAAACCAGGGUGGUUAUGACCGCUACUCAGGAGGAAAUUACAGAGACAAUUAUGACAACUGAAAUGAGACAUGCACAUAAUAUAGAUACACAAGGAAUAAUUUCUGAUCCAGGAUCGUCCUUCCAAAUGGCUGUAUUUAUAAAGGUUUUUGGAGUCGCACUGAAGCAUCUUAUUUUAUAGUAUAUCAACCUUUUGUUUUUAAAUUGACCUGCCAAGGUAGCUGAAGACCUUUUAGACAGUUCCAUCUUUUUUUUUUAAUUUUUUCUGCCUAUUUAAAGACAAAUUAUGGGACGUUUGUAGAACCUGAGUAUUUUUCUUUUUACCAGUUUUUUAGUUUGAGCUCUUAGGUUUAUUGGAGCUAGCAAUAAUUGGUUCUGGCAAGUUUGGCCAGACUGACUUCAAAAAAUUAAUGUGUAUCCAGGGACAUUUUAAAAACCUGUACACAGUGUUUAUUGUGGUUAGGAAGCAAUUUUCCAAAUGUACCUAUAAGAAAUGUGCAUCAAGCCAGCCUGACCAACAUGGUGAAACCCCAUCUGUACUAAACAUUAAAAAAUUAGCCCGGCGUGGUGGUGUACGCCUGUAAUCCCAGUGACUUGGGA
rnacentral:sRNA from 1 species